GUUCAUGCCAGAUUUUCAAAACAUGAACUAAAACUACAAAUUUCAUGAAACCAUAGGUACCAUAUCUAUAAUUCAGUCUUAAAUCAGGUCAAAACACAACUUCCCGAAUUCUUGAUAAAGCCUUGGCAGCGCUUCCCCCAUUCCCAACUAUGGCUAUACAGAAUACACAACUAGGGUUACGACAGGCAGCCGUCAAUGCCAUGGCUUCAAUCAAUCAAAAGACGAUGAUAAUACAUGAUAAAAUGAUUCUGCACCUCCAAACACUCCAGUGGUUUUCGACUUGCAGCAGCUGUUAUUAAUCGUAGUUUAAUUGAAACUUUCGUAUCUUUUUUUGGGAAAUCGAGGAAGUAUUUGGUAGAAUCGCUUUUUGAUCGAUGUAAACCAUGGGAUCUACAAAAUGAUAGUGUUGUAAACUAAAUCUUAACUGGCAAUGAUGAAAAAAAGGCCGGACUUACAGCUGCUACCUUAAAUAUGGUUGGUAGUAGAUUGAUGAGACGUUCUAUAAGGUUAUUUCUGAGCCAAUGGUUGAUUUUUAUAUUUCUGUACCUUUUCAAAUUCAGAUGACUGUUUAUUGUGAGCUUGCUAAGUUUUCUUAACUCAAA